GGCACUGUUGCUUAGUUGGUCAAAACACCUGUCUAGUAAACAGGAGAUUUUGAGUUUGAAUCCCAGUAGUGCCU
rfam:Danio rerio chromosome 4, GRCz11 reference primary assembly.